GUUUAACCAUUCUAAUGUUUCAAUAUUUUUGCUAUUAUACAUAAUGCUGCAAAGAAUAUCUUACUAGUGUGGCCAUUUUACUGCAAUGUUUUUUACCUUAGAUUUUAUUCUGUGAAUAACAUUACUAAAUGAAAGGAAUUUAUCUUUCUUAUGGUUUUUAAUAUGUAUUGCCAAUUGCAAUCACAAAACAAUCACUAGUUGCACACCAAUCAGCGGCAUAUUAGUGUAUUAAUUUCACCAAGUCCUGCCUUCAUUGGGUGCUACCAUGUUUUGGACUUUUUAACUGUUGAAUAAUUUAUCAGGUAUAUAAAUAAUCCAAAGAAUUUAAACUUUAAUGAACUGUUCCUCUACUGCUAAUCUAGCCCACAUAGGGAUUGUGAAGAUAGCUCAUUUAAUAAAUACUUCUUGACCACUGUCUUUGUUCUCAUUCCAUGCAGCAAAAGUAGCAGAGAAAAAGAAGCACAAGAGGAGAGAGGUGAUGAGGAUUCUGAACACAGAAGGCCUUCUAGGCCCUGUGUAUUAGGAUUUUGCCUUUAAUUAUGAGUGCCAUGGGGAGCCACUGUAAGGGAAACAAUUUCAUGUGAUCCUUGUCCUUUGGGAGCUUUUAAAAUCUUAAUGACGAGAUUAGAAUCAGAUGUUGUUCCCCAUCUCCCCAAAAUCCUGCCUCAACUCCAUCCUCAUCAUUGUGCAGAGAUCAGAAUACCAUGACCAGUCAUUGGAAAUACUGUUCCUCUCUCAGUAAGAAUGGAAGAAGGGAGGGCAUGGAGGGCCUCCUGUAUCUGGAGCAUUGUUAGGUGCUACAUAUCCAAUCUAAUUUUGUCCAACAACAGUCCUGUAAGGCAGGUCCCAUUUCUACAGAGGAAGAAACUGAGGCUCAAGGUGCUCACUUUGGGAAGACCUUCUGUUUGUCUUCCUUACAAAGAGAGAAAACAUUAGAUGCCUGAGUGCGCUCAAGGAGCUUUGACAGAAUCUGAAUCAUUUUUACUCUGUCUUUCAUGUUUAAAUUUCCAACAUACCUUUGUCGUUUUCAUCCACUGGAAACUGAGGCAUCCCAUGAUUCACAAAAUUGGCCCAUUGUUUAAACUGUCACCCUUCUUUCCUUAAUUCCACUCAUGAGCAUUUGGACC
rnacentral:lncRNA from 10 species